rnacentral:rRNA from 1 species
GACGAACGCUGGCGGCGUGCUUAACACAUGCAAGUCGAACGGGCCUUGUCCCCUUUUUUUUUGGGGGUGGGGUUAGUGGCGAACGGGUGAGUAACACGUGAGUAACCUGCCCCUCACUUCUGGAUAACCGCUUGAAAGGGUGGCUAAUACGGGGUGUUCUGGCCUGCUCGCAUGGGUGGGUUUGGAAAGAUUCGACCGGUUUUGGUUGUUUUGGUGGGGGAUGGGCUCGCGGCCUAUCAGCUUGUUGGUGGGGUGAUGGCCUGCCAAGGCUUUGACGGGUAGCCGGCCUGAGAGGGUGGGCGGUCACACUGGGACUGAGACACGGCCCAGACUCCUACGGGAGGCAGCAGUGGGGAAUAUUGCACGAUGGGCGCAAGCCUGAUGCAGCGACGCCGCGUGAGGGAUGGAGGCCUUCGGGUUGUGGACCUCUUUCGCCAGUGAAGAAGGUCCUGCUCUUUGUGGUGGGGUUGACGGUAGCUGGGUUAAUGAAGCGCCGGCUAACUACGUG